UCUUUCUUUCUUUCUUUCUUUCUUUCUUUCUUUCUUUCUUUCUUUCUUUCUUUUCUUUAUAUUUAUAAGAAAGAGAGAGAGACGGAGAGGGAGAGGGGCAGAGAGAGAGGGAGACACAGAAUCCGAAGAAGGCUCCAGGUUCUGAACUGUCAGCACAGAGCCAGAAGCAGGGCUCGAACUUGUGAACUGCAAGAUCAUGACCUGAGCCGAAGAUCAGAUGCUUAACCAACUGAGCCACCCCUGUCAAGGCUUCCUAACGUAUGGGACAUAAGGAAGUGGUGUGGAGUGCAUCCUUGGGGGUGUUCCAGAAGAGGACACCAAAGGCAGAAAGAAGCUCCUUCAGCUCUUGCUUGUUUUGUUAAUGGGUAUUCACUGACAUGUAAUACUCUAUCAUCCAUAAAAUGCAUCCAUAGACUUCCAAGCAAUCCUACUGAGGAUGAAAAGAAUCAACUGAUGACAACAAAUGUGUGGCUCAAACAGGUGACACUGUUUAUGGACAGCAAGAGUGGACUUCUGUUUGAAGGCUUGCCCACAUAUGUCGCAUUCAAAGGGGUCCUCUGAUGUGUGAAUUCUAUGAUGUCGAACAAAAUUUGCCUGACGUCUGAAGACUCUCCCAC